UGACGCAGCGACGCGCGUGAGGAGAAGGCCUCGGUUGUAAACUCUUCAGGAGGACGAAGCCACUCGGGUUAAUAGCCCAGAGGGUGACGGUACCUCCAGAAGAAGCCCCGGCUAACUACGUGCCAGCAGCCGCGGUAAUACGUAGGGGGCAAGCGUUGUCCGGAUUAUUGGGCGUAAAGAGCGUGUAGGCGGCCAUACAGGUCAGCUGUGAAAACUCGAGGCUCAACCUCGAGACGUCGGUUGAAACCGUUUGGCUAGAGUCCGGAAGAGGAGAGUGGAAUUCCCGGUGUAGCGGUGAAAUGCGCAGAUAUCGGGAAGAACACCCGUGGCAAAGGCGGCUCUCUGGGACGGUACUGACGCUGAGACGCGAAAGCGUGGGGAGCGAACAGGAUUAGAUACCCUGGUAGUCCACGCCGUAAACGAUGGGUACUAGGUGUGGCGGGUGUCGACUCCCGCUGUGCCGAAGCUAACGCAUUAAGUACCCCGCCUGGGGAGUACGGCCGCAAGGCUA
rnacentral:rRNA from 1 species